rnacentral:rRNA from 1 species
AAAUGAAUAGACGGGGGCCCGCACAAGCGGAGGAACAUGUGGUUUAAUUCGAUGAUACGCGAGGAACCUUACCUGGGCUCGAACGCCCACCGACGGCACCGGAGACGGUGCUCUCCAGCGAUGGCGGUGGGCGAGGUGCUGCAUGGUUGUCGUCAGCUCGUGCCGUGAGGUGUCGGGUUAAGUCCCAUAACGAGCGCAACCCUUACUGCCAGUUGCCAUCGGGUGAAGCCGGGGACUCUGGCGGGACUGCCGGCGUAAGCCGUGAGGAGGGUGGGGAUGACGUCAAAUCAGCACGGCCCUUACGUCCAGGGCUACACACGUGUUACAAUGGCCGGUACAGAGGGCAGCCACCCCGCGAGGGGGCGCCAAUCCCGAAAUCCGGUCCCAGUUCGGAUUGGGGUCUGCAACCCGACCCCAUGAAGUUGGAUUCGCUAGUAAUCGCGCAUCAGCCACGGCGCGGUGAAUACGUUCCCGGGCCUUGUACACACCGCCCGU